rnacentral:rRNA from 1 species
UACGAAAAAUGCGAACGUUAAUCGGAAUCACUGGGCGUAAAGCGCGCGUAGGCGGUUUGUUAAGUGGGAUGUGAAAUCCCCGGGCUUAACCUGAGAAUUGCAUUUCAAACUGGCCGACUAGAGUACGGUAGAGGGAGGUAGAAUUUCCUGUGUAGCGGUGAAAUGCGUAGAUAUAGGAAGGAAUACCAGUGGCGAAGGCGGCCUCCUGGAUCGAUACUGACGCUGAGGCGCGAAAGCGUGGGGAGCAAACAGG